rnacentral:rRNA from 1 species
UCGAGAAUUUUUCUCAAUGGGGGAAACCCUGAAGGAGCGACGCCGCGUGCGGGAUGAAGGGCUUCGGCUCGUAAACCGCUGUCAUUUGCGAACAAACCUUGUCCGUUAACACCGGACAGGCUGAUUGUAGCGAAAGAGGAAGGGACGGCUAACUCUGUGCCAGCAGCCGCGGUAAUACAGAGGUCCCAAGCGUUGUUCGGAUUCACUGGGCGUAAAGGGUGCGUAGGUGGCGGGGUCAGUCUGAUGUGAAAUCUCCGAGCUUAACUCGGAAAUGGCAUUGGAUACUACUCUGCUAGAGGGUUGGAGGGGAGACUGGAAUUCUCGGUGUAGCAGUGAAAUGCGUAGAUAUCGAGAGGAACGCCAGUGGCGAAAGCGAGUCUCUGGACAACUCCUGACACUGAGGCACGAAAGCUAGGGGAGCAAACAG